CGCCACCACCGCCACCACCGCCACCACCGCCAUGUUGUCCUACCUGCUACUGUCCACCGCAACCACAGUAUCCACAUUAUAGCGGAUGUCCAUAUGUAAACAUAUGGCUUUGCAUUAGUGUGUAUAAUGGAUAUGGCGGAUAUGGCGGAUAUGGUGGAUAUGGUGGAUAUGGUGGAUAUGGUGGAUAUGGUGGAUAUCGUAUUGGAAUUGACUGCUCAGGAUGUGGAAUAUAUUACAAUUACAGGUGUGAUGCUUCUUGCUACGCAACACAAAAUGUCGAUUCUUCGAAACAGUGCAGUGGCUACAAUUGCUUAAGCGGCUACCACGGAUGAUUGCAUAAUAAACGGAAAUUUUAUUACAACGUCAUAAACUAUAUGGGACAAUCAAAAUCGAUAUAUUCUUAUUUUAUAACAUUCUUUUGUUGAAUUUACAAA